GUUAAUCUUAUAUUUAAAGGCCAUGCGUUUUCCUUUUACACUGCUACGGUAGAAACAAAAACUAAUAUGGGUUUCAAUUCAUAUUGGCUCACUUUCAUAUUGAUCAGUAGCCUGUUACUUUCACAUUCAACUUGCAUGGCCAUGGCUACUGAAGCGGGUUCUGUGUCUUACAAGUUGAAAGUAGUGUCCAAGAGAACAGUUGGAACUUUGCCGCCAUCUCCCAAGAAAAACCCUCCAAUUCGCUGGAGACCCGUUCCUCCUCCGCCAGGGUUAUAGCCGCUGUCAUCAUCAAUUGCUCCUCCAUAAUCAGUGCUAUCUUUCACUUUGAUAUCAUCUUGUCUUGUUAAUUUUGUAUCCUUUCAAUACUUUGUAAUAAGUUUUGAGAUCGACACCUUUACCCCCCACAGAUUUUAGGUUUUAUCACUUAUGCCAUUUAGUUUUCAAAAUGCCACGUUGCAUCCUUGACGUCAAUCUUUUAAAUAUGUUUGUUCUAUGGUUGGAAUGAGUUUUUCGGUGAAAAGUUUUGAUAUAGAGAAGGUAUCAUAGUAUUAUGAAAAUUGUUCAGUACAAGUAGUAAAAUCUAAAAACUCUUAAGGGGGAAGAUGUCAUUCUCCAUUUUAUUCUGAUGUACACAGUCUUGAUCUUCUUCAAUAAUUGGUGGAGCUACAUAAGUUUGUUCUGCUUUCUUUGUUUGAUCUUUUGUUGUUGCAAAGACUACAUGAGUUUAUUACAUACCUCCAAAUAAUUGGAAGACAUCUCUUCCCCUACAUAUAUGCAAGUGACUUGAACUCACUUACUUAGAUCUAUGGGAAGAAGUGUACUGUGGUUUACCUUUAGCAUGAUUGGAGGUUCCCAUGUUC
rnacentral:lncRNA from 1 species